UAACCAGAAAUAUUGAUUAACCCUGUAAUACAGGAAAUUACUAUUAACUGUCGUGAAAUCUGUGAACAUGGCUCGGUGUUACGUGUAAAUUGUGCUACCUGCCUGGUUAAGCUAUGUAAUGGUUUAGCUAAAGAUGAGUAUAACAGCCUCUGUCCUCUGAUUGAAAAGGAGAUAGUGGAGAGAGAUCAUGCACCUUGGUUUAAUGCGGAAAUACUGAGGGCAAAAAGAGAGAAGAAGAAAAAAGAAAGACUGUGGCGUAGGCAAAAAACAGAUGAGGCAAGAAGAGCAUACAGGAGGCGAGAAAGCAAGAAAAUCGGCUUGUGAUAAAACGGAAAAGGGAAUACUAUCGGAAUAAGGUUGUGGAGGCAGGGCCUAACAUGAAUAAAUCCUAACCCACUUAGCCAGUGGGUACCUCUUUGGCCGACUGGUAAAGGAGUGGCUUUCCCGUUACGCUGGUCGCGGGUUCGAUCCCCGGCGCCGGCAAAAGCUUUCCUUGUCUGGAUUAAUUUCUCGUGUGUUUCGUUACACGCAGAGGCCGUGUGGGAGUGUAGUAAAGAGAAAAUUGUGGCAUUUCAACACAGUACAGAACAGUAUAGACUCUAUGAGCCCAGGGUCAACCUGGAACUGGGUUUGAGAGCAUUUGAGAAGAGUGCCCCGCGGCUCUAUAAUGAGUCACCCGGGGACGUUAAGAACAGUGACAGUCUGGCAGUGUUGAAGAAAGCGCUGAAGACUCACUUGUUCACUAAAUCCUACGACUUAACAAAUAUGAGGAUUGAGGACAAGUUGAGGUGCUAAUAUUACUGUUAUAAUGUUAGCGGCCCUGUGGAGCGCUGGCGGACCGGGGCCUGAAAGCUCAUCAACGGUAAACGGUAUGAUAGAGCUGUAUAAAAUGUUUUCAGAUUGCGAUAACUUAGACGUGGAUACUUUCUUUACACUAGAGGAGGGCAACUCUAGAUGGUCUGAGUCCCGCAGCAAAGUGUGCCAGAUGUGUGACGCCUGGCUGGGAGAAACCUCGAGCCUCCUGUGACAUCAAGAUCAAGACCAAGAUCAGGCCCCGAGAUUUGAUUUUCUCUUCUCUGUUCUUUGGAAACACACGAUCAAUUAAUCAAGCCAAGGAGAGGGUGUUCCCCGGCUGCCUGGGACGUGACGGGAGAGCCAAAGAGGAUAGCCGGCGUGUGGGAUGGGUGGAAGGUCCAACAUUGCCUCUCUCGUGUUCAAGCCGCCUGGCGCUCCCGUCUCAUCACUGGGAAGGACUACUGGCCAUGAGUGUAGCGUUGAGGAAUACUUGCUGCCCCCUCGCCCUCAAAGCUGGCCUGCAGCCUGAGUGGCCAGGAGCAGCGGAGCAGACUGUCACUGGUGUGAGGACCAAGGCCUGAUCAGAAGGACCACCACCACCGUGCUGCUGCCUUCUCCAGCCAUAAAGGAAGGGAAAGGUUGAGUGUCAGGACUGUAGGACAAUUUGAUAGGGGAGAGGAAGUUCAUCAGACACAGCCUUGCACACACUGGUUCAGGAAACCAUGAGAGCCAGGAGUGUGAGAAAAGCCUCCCUGGGAAGGGUGACUUUGACUAAGACACUCACUCAUUCUGCUGAAAGAAAUCAUGAUUGUGCAGUUUGUGGGGAAAGUUUCAGCAAGAAGGGUAAACUCAAGACACACAUUCUUACACACACUGCUGAAAAAAAUCAUGAAUGUGAAGUUUGUGGGAAAAGAUUUAAUCGGAAGAGUCACCUCAAUGCACACAUCCUUACACACACUGGUGAGAGAAAUCAUGAAUGUGAAGUUUGUGGGAAAAAAUUUA